rnacentral:snRNA from 1 species
GCUUUGUCUACAUUUGGGA